UACGUAGGAGGCAAGCGUUGUCCGGAAUCACUGGGCGUAAAGCGCGUGUAGGUGGAAGAGUAAGUCUGCUGUGAAAGCGCCUGGCUUAACCGGGCGAGGUCGGUGGAAACUCCUCAUCUAGAGGUCGGUAGAGGGGGGUGGAAUUCCGGGUGUAGUGGUGAAAUGCGUAGAGAUCCGGAGGAACACCUGUGGCGAAGGCGGCCCCCUGGGCCGCACCUGACGCUGAGACGCGAAAGCGCGGGGAGCGAACGGG
rnacentral:rRNA from 1 species